AUUGAACGCUGGCGGCAGGCCCAACACAUGCAAGUCGAGCGGAGCGGCGGACGGGUGAGUAAUGCCUAGGAAUCUGCCUGGUAGUGGGGGAUAACGUCCGGAAACGGGCGCUAAUACCGCAUACUAUCAGAUGAGCCUAGGUCGGAUUAGCUAGGUGUGGGGGUAAAGGCCUACCAAGGCGACGAUCCGUAACUGGUCUUAGAGGAUGAUAAGUCAAACUGGAACUGAGACAAGGUCCAGACGCCUACGGGAGGCAGAAGGGGGGAAUAUUGGAAAAGGGGCGAAAGUCGGAUCCAGCCAUGCCGCGGGUGUGAAGAAGGUCUUCGGAUUGUAAAGCACUUUAAGUUGGGAGGCGUUACCAACAGAAUAAGCACCGGCUAACUUCGUGCCAGCAGCCGCGGUAAUAC
rnacentral:rRNA from 1 species